rnacentral:lncRNA from 1 species
CAACCUCAAUUUUCAAAGGUCAGAAACGGAAAGUACGCAGAAAAUUACGUAGGAAAUCUCAUAAUGGGUGACAUCGAAACGAAAUUUGGCGAGGAACAGCCGCAAAAAGAGCGGAACGCCAGCCGCUCAACCCCCCACUCCACUCCCCUGUACCUUUGGAACCACUUUUCAACUCAAGGUGAAAUUUUUUCCUGAGACUUGGGGCAUCAUGGGCAUCAAUUUGGCGCAAGUAGUCUCGUUGGCCGGAUCGAGGGCUUAAGAAAGGGGCGAAUUUUGACCCAUUUUUAACAAGGCUCUUUUGGACUACAUUUUUUCACACUCUCUUCAUUUUAAUGUGUCUUGUUAAUACGACUGAAUUUGUGCAUUAGAAAACUUAUUCUAAGGAAGAUUGUGCGAUAGUAAUUUAAUUUGUUUAUUCAUUAUUUUCUAAAUACAUGAAACCCCUAUAAAUGAUGUAAGUGAUGCAGUGGCGUAGCGUGCUAUGCGAUUUACCGAUUGAUUCUUUACCAUUCUUUCAAAUGGGAAAUAUCUAUAAUUGAUCAUUCGCGCUUUGCCACUGAUGUGAUGAUUUCUAAAUUUUUGAAAAAUUUGGCGCGCUAUGGGGGUAGCCACUGGAAAAAAAAACACAGCCAAAAUAGUCUCUCAGUUGUUGUCGUUCACUUGGAUUUGGUGGGCUCUCUGAGCAUACAGAAAAAGCCUCUUAAAUAUUAUUUUUGUUCCAAGCAGGCAGAGAAUGCCGGAAAUAUCUUCAACGAUCUUUAUCAAUGUAUCCAAAGUCGGUGGUAGACAAACUCCUGCGGCUAUGGAAUAUUGAGAGGCAACGGGUGAUAGCGGAUUUCAAAAAGAUGCACCAACAAAGGAUCGCAGAAAUGGAACGAGCCGCCAAACAGGAACUUGAGGAAAAAGUCCGCAGUAUCAAGAACGGAAAAGAAACACUGGUCAAAUUGUGGGAGUGCAAAGAGCGAAUCGAUCGGUUCAUGAAAGCUCCGAGAUUUCCCAGCGGAGGCGAGGAGCAGCAGAAGCAACUUAUGGAGGCGUUGCGUGUCGAAAUCGCCGAGGAUAGGGCCAAACUUAAGACAGAGUCGGAUUUGAAUACCCAGUUAAAGGUGGGACUCGCCAAAGCGACCUUGGACAAAGAAGAGCAGGACGCAAACUUUACCGCGAUGAAAGACGAGCUCAGAAAUCUCGCCGAACAAUUGUGCGAUACGUUGGCGGCGAUUUGCGAUGAGUAUGAGACGCAGCACAUUGCGUUGAAUAAAAAUAUUUUGGGGUGGCUCGACUCGAACCAGAGGUCAUUAAUACGUAGGUAUGCCUCUGAACACUAUAAAGAAUAUUUCGAAAAUACUUUGGUUUUGUUCAUUUCUUAG